rnacentral:rRNA from 1 species
CGCAGCCCGAGUGGUGGUCAUUAUUAUUGAGCCUAAAGCGUCCGUAGCCGGACUCGUAAAUCCUUGGGUAAAUCGGGCAGCUUAACUGUCCGAAUUCCGAGGAGACUGCGAGUCUUGGGACCGGGAGAGGUCAGAGGUACUCCAGGGGUAAGGGCUAAAUCUUGUAAUCCUUGGGGGACCACCAGUGGCGAAGGCGUCUGACUAGAACGGAUCCGACGGUAAGGGACGAAACCCUGGGGCGCAAACG